ensembl:lncRNA
CACACACACACACACACACCAGAAACUUUCCAACCUACGCAGACAUCUUCAUUUAUUGCCAUGAGAACGGUCAAAAACAUUCCCGCCCUUUCUUCUCCGUAAAACCCCUGAAGUCAAUCACACACAUGCAAACACAUGAGAAAUCUGGAGUCAGUCAAACCGACCGUGAUGUGCAGAGCCAAGACCUUGAAAAACAAAAACACACUGUAGGUGUUGUCACUUUCUGUGCAGGUCACUGGACAGUCAUUAUGAAUUACCAGGUUUUUGGGGGUGUUUAUGGAUGAUGGUACUUUUAUUGCCUUCGUGUUGGAUGCAAAAAUCAUUACAGGAGUAGCGUAAUAUUGUAUUGUUACACAUCAAGAAAUUAUGUUUUUUAAUCUAAGCGAUUAAUAUUGAUGUGUGCGCCGGUUUGUUUUGUGUGUUUAAGAGAGAACAUUAAACAUUAAACAACACUCCCCUCUCAUAUCUGCUAAAAAGGGCCUUAAUUCUGCGACGAUGGAGCGUUUUGGAUAUGGAAAUUUCGAGGGUCCAAUUGAACUUUGAGCUCUGUUGCCGAUCGUCCCCGACUUAGAUUUAGGGACACAAACGUAAACUCAAGAUCUACAUUGACGCUUCCCAGUGUCUGGUCUGACAAUGCUGCAUUGUAAACCGGUAAUCUGGCUCGUGGUGCUUUCAAGAUCCAUCCAGUUAAAGUGAUUAGUGGACUCUGUAAAUGAUGACAUUCCCAAGAUGUUUUCACAUGUAACCUUUUCAAAUGUUGUUUUUGGUGAGAACUAAUUGAAUAAUCCAAGUUACCUUCAUUUAGGUUUUUGAAUCAAGCUUGGAACACCUGACGUCGUAUUUUAGGAAAAUGUUUGUAAUUCAUCAUAAUCAUAAACAUUAAAUAUAAGUCUUGAUUGCUUCCAGACCCCCACCGUGCUUUGUGUGAGGCAGGACGGAGAGCAAACAGCUUUCUGUCCGCAGUGAAAGUUUUGUUUUUGAAAGGCUUAACCCUAAAAAUGUGGAUUGAAGUAGGAUAUUUUAUACACAGUUAUAUGUUGUGGAUUUGGGAAAUAAUUACAUCUAUCUUUUUUCAAUGUUUGUUGACUUUCAGACAUAAUAACACUCAGGAGGCAUUGGAAACGUUUGGCUCUCAUGAGUCUACGCAGCCGCUGUGCACACUGCACAAACCUACUGGAUAUGAGAAAAAUGAAACACAGCAACGCAGAUCAUUUCCACAGAACCGGCUGCACAUCGUCUUCGGUAGUCUUAACUUUGAGAAAUAAAGACUCGUCCAGUUUUCCCUGGUGUCACGUGGAGGAGUCACCUGAUCCGUGCGAUAUGUCAGCUUGCUGAGGGUGUUUGAACACAGCUGACACUUAAGAUGACCCUCGCCUGCCCUGCCCCUCCCUCCACGUUACCGCCCCUUUAUCUCCCCAAAUCCCUUGUGUUUUGUGAUGUUUUGGACUCGGCAUUGCCAUAACAAACACAUUGUUGCUGUGGUUACGUUUCUCACAGUCCCAGGAAAAACAACACUGAGCAACAUUUCUGAGAAUGAGAUGGUCUUUAAGUCCCAGGGCUACAAGUGUUGCUUAAUACAUGAUUUUAGUAAUAGGUUUGGGAGACCAAUUCUAUUAUUAAUUCUAUUUGGUGCAGGAGAGGAUGUUAAGAGUGAGGUUAAGCGCCAAAGAAAUGCCCUUUUUUUUCCUACACAGAAACCGUAAUGUCUUUUUCUGUUACGUCAACCUGUUUCUGUAUGAUUUCCCCACAUGAGCUCACUUCCUUCUGCUCCCUGAUACCACCUGACCGCGACGGACUCCUGGCAAACGUAACAUAUGUCAAGUGCAUGAGGUCUGUAGGUGUCUGAGGGACUUGGUAUGGUUUGUGUGUGUGUGUGUGUGUGUGUGAGAGUAAAAGAUAACCCUGUGGUUUGGGGCUUAGAGCUAAUCUAAUUGAAUUAACGUAAUAUUCCUCACACCAUUUUCAGAUUUUUCCAUGAACAAUUGCUCGAUACUCUUUUGGCUUGAGCUGUACAGUGUGCGUGCUGCCUGUGUGUAAUCAUGCUGUGGGGAUUCUGAGCUGAGGGACGGAGGUGUGGCGAGGUUAAGAGGUCAAAGGUGGGCUCAUAUUCUGCAGUAACUAGCGCUUCCCUGAGGAUGAGAAGAACAAUUGAGCUUUGGCCAGCCAUCUCCUGCAUGUACUCACAACAUGAGUCUACAGUAUGCAUACAAGUGCUACGGUUAGGAGUUCCCACAGAUCCAUUUUUCAAGAUGACAAAUCAGACUGUAAUAACAAAGUACUGUGUCCUAACAUUGUCACUAUCCCUUCACUUCCAUAUACUCAGGAGGACUAAUUUGGUCAUUACAAGAAAACCUACGUUCUAACUUGCCCUCUGCAGACAUCUUUUAGUAGAUAAUUUAUAUUUAUUUAUUAAACAUAUUUGUUUCACAUUUAAAUUUAAUUCUCAAUUAAAGCGGACAUUUAUUUGCAUUCGAUAUGUUCAUCGUUAUCAAAGCGUUAUACAAUUGAGGUUGAAUCCAGGCCCCAGUAGAUCUGGGAAAAGCCAUCAUGAAGUUUAUGAAAGGUAGGAACGAAUGGAUUUGGAGUGUUUUACCUUUGUUAAAGUUGUGACUUAACCACAAAAAAUAAUGCCCCCAAUGUGUGUGUGAAGACCUUUGAAGGGACUUGUGGGAGUUGUAGGUGCUGUUCGACAAUUUUGAGAUAUGUGUGAGUCAAGCAGGAAUCUGAGCAGUACAGCAGCCUGGAGGGAAAGACAGAGUAAAACUACGGAAGCUGGUUCAUAUUUAGAAAAUGACAGAAAGUGACGCUCGGACUCUUUGCCACUGGGAGCAAUUGCCCCGUGAUGUCAAACCAAAGACGCUGUUUGUACCCAAGACGCCUGGUUCACAGAGUGUGACAGCAGGAUCUGGUGGUUCAUCCUUCCAAAGGCUGCUGACAGGUCCAGCGAGAUGAGGACACAUGACCUGCUACAUGUGUUGCAGAACAUACGCCAGUUCUUCAAAGUACUCGCAAGAGUGCCGUUCUAACUGUUGAAUGUUUUUGAAUUAUGAACCCGUUUCAACACUAGAGGUAACAGAGGUAAAUCCAGACUUUGACACACCAGCAUAAUGGUUGCAUGGUCAACAGUGGAAACUGAACUUGUGCGGUGUCAAGAGAAGGUUGACAUCAGGUCCUGUAUGUAAUGGAUUUUGCUACAGACACAACGUGGAAAGGCUGGUGAGCUCAUGGAAAUCCUUGAUCUUUUACAAAGCGUGAGCAGAACCCAGCUGGUGUUCUGGCUUCCUUUUAAUGGCUGAAUCACAGUAUGGCAGCCGACUACUGAAACGGUUUUGUGUGCAGCACAAGUCAGAUGAUUAGUCAAGGAGACACUUACGUGGAGCGCAGUCGGCUUAGAUUCCAGGAAACGCUGAAAAAGUCUGUGUGCUGGAUUUGACUGAGCACAACGUCAUGUCUCUCCCUUUACAGGAAGUUCAAGAGUGCCUGUAAUCAAGGCACUGAACCACUGCUCACCCCAAAGAGAUCAAUAAACUGUGGAUCUCCAUGGACAAAUCAAGGUUAUAACCUCAGCCAGCCAUGUAUGAAUAGUGCAAUGUGUGACAUACGUUACAAAGAGACUACCGGCCUCGUCACCUUUGUUAUCGAAUCCAAGUAAGAAAAAAAUUGCUUGUUUCUGUAUAUUCUAAUAAAAUAAUGCUUCAGUAUUGACACAAAUAAAGCAAACAAGGAAAGGCGUCCUGGAUCAAGAGUGAAAAACGAUUGUAAUCAUAUUUUGACAAAUAUAUCUACCUCAGUUACGGUUGGCCAAUAGAAUUAUUCGAUUCAAGUUAACAAAACUUUUCAAAAAAAUUUAACCUAGCUGUGUUUUUUAGUACUACAAGCUCUGAACACAACAUUGACCAUUGACAUUAAAUUGCUGUAUAGGGUGAACAUGUCAGCAACAGUAAACAGUCUGUGUUUGCACCCGUCAGACUCAAACCAACAUCCGCAAUCACAUUCAUUUGGAGUUCCUUAUUACUGGGCGAUUAUAAAUCCAAUAUUAACUCUUCUGGUUCAAUUUUAGUCCCCAACAGAUCCUAAGUGUGUGUCUGCGGUGCUCGGCAAGUCUGAUGCAUUUGUUUUUUUCAGCUGCAUCAGUACGGACGUGAUGAAUCCCUCCUGCGUGGAGCCCCUUGUAAAUAUUAGUGUCAAAGAAAGAAUCAUCAUUCAUCGUAUCUCUUCUGGGAAACGUCCUUUGCUUAUGAGGUCAAAAAGGUCAAUGCAAAGUACUCUUCAGAUUUAUAAAUAAGGAAGAAUACGUUUUUUUGAGAAGUGUUUGAGAAGAUUUUAUAUCAUCAGCCCUUUGAAGUGUGUUUGGUAGUUUGGAGACAGAUUGAAGGGAGUGUUUAUUGGUCGGCACAACUUAGGGUCCUGACCCAGAGAGAAGGAUAUGAGAAGAGGGAGGGAGGCCCGAUACAGAAAGACAUAAUAGAAACAAUCACAUGUUUCAUGAUGGAAUAUGAAAAAGGUGUUUGAAGACAAAACUGGGCCGUGAAAAGUUCAUUGCAAAUAGUUAAUAUUAUGCUGCCACCCAUUGCAUUGAUUUAAAAGUACAAUAGCAACAAAGCGGUUUUGCCUCCAGGUUCAAAGCCAGAGGAAUAGUUCAACAUUUUUGGAACAUGUACUUAAUAAUUAAAGAAAUGUGAUGUGACAUGAUGAAAGUCAUUACUGAUUUGCUUUGUUCCAUUUAGACUACUGUAUGUAAUCUGUCUAUGUGGAGGUUUGUGUGGGCUGUAUGUACCUUUCCAAGUACUAAUUAUUCUUGCGAGGUCCAAAAGGAAGACUCCUCUCGGUCCUCUGGGCUUAGUGUUAGGAUUAGCCUCGAGUUGGGGUCUGUUUAUGUUUCAGUCUGUGGCUGUGUGCGAGUUUCCUCCACUUCAAAGGCCGUGUGUGGCCCCUGAGGCCCUCAGAGACACCUCACAGGUGUUUCCUUUGAGUAGACACACACUGUCAACCUUUCAGUCGGGAGCCAAACGCUCUCUACCUAUAAAGCCUGGAAGGACACACGCUCCUCAAGGUGUAAAAGGCUCUUCAACCACCAAGCACUUGCGCUUUAACUCAAAAGCCAUCGGCAUCUGCUGGAGUGAAGUGCUAGAUGUGGCUCCUGCUGCUGCUGUGAAAAGUUAUUCGCUUUUACAGCCUGCUGCUUUGAGAUUAAAAGGCUGCUCAGGUCACACCGACACAGCUCCUAACUACUUAGCUGGGGAGAAAUAACACCACGGUUUUAACAGGCCCUGAGUUUAACACGUGUGAAAUACCUCGGGUCCACAAACUAAAUAGUCUAACACAAUUUCACAAUUUUCUAGCAUAGAUGUCCAGCAUCUUCACCCAGAGUCUGGGUGAAGCACACAUGUGUGGCCCACCGACCUCUUUCCCCUGGAAGGGGCACAUUAAGAGGGCAUGUUGUCGGUCUGGCUCUCUGGCUGUCUGGAUGGAGGAUUUCAUGGCUUGCCGCCUGUCUGUCCACCUCUGACUCUUUCUCUCACUCCGUCUCUCUUGCUGGUGCUGUCUCUCUCUCUUGGUACAUUGACCAAGGCGGAUGAUUCUGGAGAGGCGACCUAUAGGAAUCUCAUUUAUACCGAUACCUCACCGUCAUCCAAGUUCUUGACACAAGUUAAUUUGAUGUAUAUUCUCAACUAGAAUUCUAAAUCAAUGUAAUAGGAUCUUCAAUAAAUGCAUAUAACUGAUUCAAAAACCAAAGAAUCUUCAUUUCUGUUGCUCAUCCAGCUCCUUUGCUUUCAAGGUCAAAGGGUCAGCCUGAUGUUCUCGUUAGCCAGCAAGGAUUGAGAAAUCAAAAGGAUGAGUCAGGAGAGUCUCAUUAACAAUGUUUAGUCUGAAGUGAAGGAAAACAUGACGGGGUCA